GCCUGCCCAAUGAAUAAUAAAUGGCCGCAGUAUCCUGACUGUGCUAAGGUAGCAUAAUCAUUUGUCUCUUAAUUAGAGACUAGUAUGAAUGGUAAGACGAGAGAAAAACUUUCUUAAUUAAAUAUAAAAAAUUUAUCUUAAAAGUUAAAAGACUUUUAUAAUUUAGGGGGACGACAAGACCCUAUAAAACUUUAUCUCCUACGUAAUUUACUCUCAAGAGUUAAACCCCUACUUUCGAGAUUUUGCUGGGGCGGCAAAUUUUUAAACCUAACAUAAUUUAAUUCAAUUAUACAAAAAUAUUUACAAACCUAGCUUAAGAAUAAAACAAGUUACUUUAGGGAUAACAGCGUUAUACCUUUUUAGAGCCCCUAUCGCCAAAGGUGUUUACGACCUCGAUGUUGAAUUGAAGUACCUAUUUUAAGCAGCCUUAAAAUAAGGAA
rnacentral:rRNA from 1 species